rnacentral:rRNA from 1 species
UGGCGGACGGGUGAGUAACGCGUGGGUAACCUGCCUCACACAGGGGGAUAACAGUUGGAAACGACCGCUAAUACCGCAUAACCCGCUGGUACCGCAUGGUACUGACGGAAAAGAUUUAUCGGUGUGAGAUGGACCCGCGUCUGAUUAGCCAGUUGGCAGGGUAACGGCCUACCAAAGCGACGAUCAGUAGCCGGCCUGAGAGGGUGAACGGCCACAUUGGGACUGAGACACGGCCCAAACUCCUACGGGAGGCAGCAG